GGAGCUGUAGCUGCCGGCCACAGCCACAGCAACGUGGGAUCCGAGCCACAUCUGCAACCUACACCACAGCUCAAGGCAACGCCGGAUCGUUAACCCACUGAGCAAGGGCAGGGAUCAAACUCGCAACCUCAUGGUUCCUAGUUGGAUUCGUUAACCACUGCGCCACAACGAGAACUCCGUCUUAAAAAAUUUUAAAGAUUUGCCUUUCACAUUGUCCUUAAUCCAUCUGGAAUUAAUUUAAAUGUGUGGUUCUUGCCAGGGAUCUGAUUUCAUGUUUCCCAUUUAGAGACCAAAUUGUCCCAGCACCAUUUGUCACCUAUUUCUUUUUUUUCCUCUCAGUGGUUUGUCUGUCACUUUGAUGUGUUUCAACUUCCAUAUAGGUGUGGCCUGUUCCUAUGCUCUCUGUUCCAGUGCCUUUAUCUGUCUAUUGGUUUAUACUGAAAGUGCCAAUGCUACACUAAGUUAUUAUUGUGUGAAUGAGUCUAUUGCUAUUCCUCACUGUCCCUUCCUCUUGCAGAGAAAGAUUGUGCUUCCCUGCCACAUUCAUGGUGGGCUUGGACUUGAUUCCACCAAGUAAAUGUUAAUAGAAGUAACAUGUAGCAUGUCUGAACAGAAUCUAUAAAAAUCCAGGUGUGAUUCAAGCAGACCUGACAGCCUGGCAGCUGUGAUGUGCUGCUCCCUCUUGAGAACCUGAGAUGGAGAUGUAUGUGUGGGACAGUGAGAUAUAUGAGUGGGAAAUAAAGUUUGUGCUUUUCAGGUGAUUUUUCAGCUGGGUUUUAUUACAGAAGAUAACCCAGUAGAAUCUGAUAUACACAAGGUUCAAUUACUUAACCUAACAUACACAGAAUGCUAUAGCAAGGCUUGAUAGGUCUGAGUAAAUCACCCACUAAUUUUUCUUAGAGAAAUUGUUGGCCAUUUGCUCAUUCAUGCAAAUUUUAGAAUCAACUCCUAAGUCUCCAUUCCACCAAAACCCUCUUAAUAUUUGUUUAUGAUACCAUCAUAUAUACAGAUAUAUUUUGAGGGAUUUGAAUCAGCAAUCAGACUUCUUAUCAGGGAAUGUCUUCAUUUAUUUGGGUCUUUUUCAAUGCCAUUCAUUUAUAUUUCCCUGUGAAGAUCCCUAUGAAGAUUUCUCUUCUCUUAAUACCUUAUAUUUCUGCUGCUAGUCUAAACGACAUUUUCAAAUAGAGUUUUUAAACAGUUUAUUGGUAUUGUGAAGAAGUGUAUUUACUGGCUGAUAUAUUCACUCAACUUGCUAAGCGCUCUUAUUUUCAAAAAUUAACUGUAAAAUCUGUUGGGUUAGUAUAAAAAUUCAGAAAACAAAAACACAUUGUGCUGACUACUUCUCCAAUGAGCAGAGCUACAAUAGAGGCAUUCUUGAUUUCAAAAAGAAUGCUUCCAACACAUCACCAUUAAGAAUUAUAUUUAUUAUAAACCAAUGGGAUCUAAUCAAGCUGACAAGCUUUUGCACAGCAAAGGAAACCAAAAAGAAAACAAAAAGACAACUUACAGAAUGGGAGAAAAUAGUUUCAAGUGAUGCAACCAACAAGGGCUUAAUCUCUAAAAUAUACAACAGCUUAUACAACUCAACAGCAAAAAAGCCAACAACCCAAUGGAAAAAUGGGCAAUAGACCUGAAUAGACUUGUCUCCAAAGAAGAUAUACAGAUGGCCCACAAGCACAUGAAAAAAUGCUCAACAUCCCUGAUUAUUGGAGAAAUGCAAAUCAGAACUACUAUGAGGUACCACCUCACACCAGUAAGAGUGGCCAUCAUUAAUAAGUCCACAAAUAACAAGUGCUGGAGGGGCUGUGGAGCAAAGGGAACCCUCCCGCAAGAACUACCGUUUGACACAGCAAUCCCACUCUUGGGCAUAUAUCCAGACAAAACUUUCCUUGAAAAAGACACAUGCACCCGCAUGUUCAUUGCAGCACUAGUCACAAUAGCCAAUACAUGGAAACAUCCCAAAUGUCCAUCAACAGAUGAUUGGAUUAGGAAGAUGUGGUAUAUAUAUACAAUAGAAUACUACUCAGCCAUAAAAAGAACAAAAUAAUGCCAUUUGCAGCAACAUGGAUGGAACUAGAGACUCUCAUCCUGAGUGAAGUAAGUCAGAAAGAGAAAGACAAAUACUAUAUGAUAUCACAUAUCUGGAAUCUAAUAUGCGGCACAAAUGAACCUUUCCACAGAAAAAAUCAUGGGCUUAGAGAAUAGACUUGUGGUUGCCAAGGGGGAAGGGGUGGGAAUGGGAUGGAUUGGAAGCUUGAGGAUAAUGGAUGCAAACUAUUGCUUUUGGAAUGGAUUAGCAAUGAGAUCCUGCUGUGUAGCACUGGGAACUAUGUCUAGUCACUUAUGAUGGAGCAUGAGAAUGUGAGAAAAAAGAAUCUAUACAUAUAUGUGAAACUGGGUCACCAUGCUGUACAGUAGAAAACUGACAGAACACUGUAAACCAAGUAUAACGGAAAAAAUAAAAAUCAUUAUACAUAUUAAAAAAAGAAUAUUUAUUGGUCAUUGGGCACCUGCUGUAUAACACAGGCAACUCUACCCAAUAUUUUGUAAUAACCUAUAAAGGAAAAGAAUCUGGGGAAAAAAAGGGUAUGUGUAUAUGUAUUAACUGAUUCAUUUUGUUGUUCAGGAGGGAACCCACAUCACAGUAGCGACCCAAACCACUGCAGUGACAACACUGGAUCCUUAACUCACUGUGCCACAAGAGAACUCCAUGAAUGAGUGUGGAAUUUUAUCUAAAUUUUUUCUGUAUAAUUUUUGAGAAAUAUAUAUUUAUCUCCAACUGAAUUAAUACAGCUGAAAUAAUAUUAACAAAUAUUAAUAUUUGUAAAUAGGCCCAAAUUGGCCAUGAUAAUUUUUUAAAGUAUUGCUGGAUUAAGUUUAGUAUUAGUUUAGAUUUUUUUGGCCUAUGAUCAAUUUCCUAUUUUUGUGCUGUUCUUAUCUGGAUUUGAUAUUAGGUAAGACCAGCUUCAUAAAAUGCACAAGGGAGUAUUACAUUGUCUUUGGAAAGACUUUGAACAUGAUCACACUAAUCUGCUUCUUGAACAUUUGGUAUAUCUCCUAUACUUGGUGUUUUCUUUGUAUGAAGUCUUUAAAUUACUGGAUACAAUAUAUUUAAUAUUUACUUAAUGCUAUGGACUGAAUUGUGCCCCUCCUUCCAAAUUAAUAUAAUCCUAAUGUGACUGCAUUUGGAUGUUGGGCCUUUACAGAGGUGAUUAGGUUAAAUGAGGUCAUAAGGAUUGGACCCUAAUCCUAUAGAUCUGGUGUCCUCAUAAGAAAAGUCACCAUGGCUAUCUUCCCACACAGUCACAAUGAAUGCCCAGUAGAGGACACAGAGGGAAGGGAGCCAUAUGCAAUCCAGGAAGAAGCCUCAAUAGAAACCAACCCUGCUGACACCUCAAUGUUGGUCAUUGUUUCUUGAAAUCUUCUCCUUUCAUCUGGGUUCAGCUUCCCUCCUUCUGAAACACAUUCUUUAGUAGUUCUUUCACCAAGGUUGUGAAGGUUUCAACUUAGGCUUUGUACCUCUGAAAAUAUCUGUUUUGUGCUCACUCUUGCAUAAUAGUUCAGUUAAAUACAAAAUUCUAAGUAGACAGAUUAUUAUCGAGGCCCUAGAAGUUCUAUAAUUUCACUAUGUGAACAGCACAUUAGGGAUUUGAUUUCUCACAUUCAUAUUCAUUAAUGGGCUCUCCUCAUAGAAGAAAAGUUUGCUUUGGGGACCAUUAUCCAGAGCUUUAAUGUCUAUUCUGAAUCUCAUCUUUUGCACCUCAGACUCAUCAUAAUUUUGUUCCUUUACAAUCUUAUCUGUGUGAAGAUGCUCCCUAACCUUGAGGAAAAGCACAGAGCUUUAUCACCUUGUAUCCCCACACUCUCUCCCCUCAAGGGCAUCCAGAACAUUUACUGAGUUAAGGAAGAAAGGAAGGAACAGGGACUCAGUUCCUCUAGGAGUCUCUCUUCCCCUCUUUAAUCUGCUAAACUGAAUGGGAGCCAUUCUCCUGGCUGCCACUGCAAUAACUCCUGAGACUCCAUGUCCAUCUCCCCUCAUCCUCCUUACAGGGGAAAGUCCUACGUGGGCCAAGCCCUGGCCUGAAUGUAGCCACUCAGAAGGCAUUCCCUCCCGUCGCCACCCUUCAGGCCCUGGCCUGUCCCAGCCUCCAUGGGCAGGUAAAUUCCCUGACACCUUCGCAUUCUGUGAAGUCACAGAACUCACCAUUACUUGGCACAAUGCUGCCAUUUCAGAACUUAGGAGGGCCAGGAAAGGCAAAGAGGCCGAGGCUCUGCUCCAGCGAAGUCUGGGAGACUCUCAGGGCGCCACAAAGAUGGAGCUCCCGCGGCGCUCAGCCUGGACGGGGAGGAAAGUCCUGGGAGCUGGGCAACGCACGGAGGAUCCGCAGCUGCAAGGCACGGACCAUCUGAGGAAUCUGGCUGUCGCCCGGGUCCCACUGACCCAAAAAGGAAGAAGUCGCGGCGCAGGGGGCGAGUGAACAGCGGCAAGUGCAGCCUCCGCUGUGGCCCAGACGCCACCUCCAAAGGCAGCGGCGGCUGAGCGCACUGUGGAGCGGCCCGAGUCAGGGCACCCUCCUCGGUCCCUCAGCUGGGAGGCGCCGAGCGAGGCCGGAGCCAGUGGGACGCAGGGCCUGGGUCUUCCGAGCUGAGUUCGUGGGAGGGCCAGGCUCCGCCGAGAGGCCGCGAAACCGGCGCUCGGCCUCGCG
rnacentral:lncRNA from 1 species